UACGUAGGCAGCAAGCGUUGUUCGGAGUUACUGGGCGUAAAGAGUGCGUAGGCGGUGUCGAAAGUUUGGCGUGAAAUCUCCCGGCUUAACUGGGAGGGUGCGCCGAAAACUGCGAUGCUGGAGUGUGGGAAAGGCAAGCGGAAUUCCUGGUGUAGCGGUGAAAUGCGUAGAUAUCAGGAGGAACACGGCGGUGUAGACGGCUUGCUAGACCAUAACUGACGCUGAGGCACGAAAGCGUGGGUAGCAAACAGG
rnacentral:rRNA from 1 species